UGCAAGUCGAGCGCGCAGUCCUCUGUAGCAAUACAGGGGAUGGGCGCACGGCGCACGGGUGCGUAACACGUGGGUUACCUGCCCUUCGAUGGGGGAUAACCCCGCGAAAGCGGGGCUAAUACCGCAUAACAUUCCGGCGAUUUCGAUUGCUGAAAUCAAAGCCCGCAAGGGCGUCGGAGGAGGGGCCCGCGCCCGAUUAGCUUGUUGGUGAGGUAACGGCUCACCAAGGCGAUGAUCGGUAGCCGGUCUGAGAGGAUGGCCGGCCACACUGGAACUGAGACACGGUCCAGACUCCUACGGGAGGCAGCAGUGGGGAAUCUUGCGCAAUGGGCGAAAGCCUGACGCAGCGACGCCGCGUGGGGGAUGAAGCUUCUCGGAGUGUAAACCCCUUUCGACCCGGACGAAUAGCCCGCAAGGGAAUUGACGGUACGGGUAGAAGAAGCCCCGGCUAACUACGUGCCAGCAGCCGCGGUAAAACGUAGGGGGCCAGCGUUGCUCGGAAUUACUGGGCGUAAAGGGUCCGUAGGCGGUGCGGCAAGUCGGGGGUGAAAUCUCACGGCUUAACUGUGAGGCUGCUUCCGAAACUGCCGUGCUCGAGUGCGGGAGAGGCGAGUGGAAUUGCAGGUGUAGCGGUGAAAUGCGUAGAUAUCUGCAGGAACACCCGUGGCGAAGGCGGCUCGCUGGACCGCAACUGACGCUGAGGGACGAAAGCUAGGGGAGCAAACAGGAUUAGAUACCCUGGUAGUCCUAGCCCUAAACCAUCAGACUUGGCGUGUUCCGCGUACGCGGAACGUGCCGGAGCU
rnacentral:rRNA from 1 species